rnacentral:rRNA from 1 species
GACAGAGGUGCCGAGCGUUAGGCGGAAUCACUGGGCUUAAAGCGUGUGUAGGCGGGUCGUUUAAGUGUCUUGUGAAAUCCCACCGCUCAACGGUGGAACUGCUGGGCAUACUGGCGAUCUUGAGCCACCUAGGGGCAGACGGAACAAGCGGUGGAGCGGUGAAAUGCGUAGAUAUCGCUUGGAACGCCGACGGUGAAAACAGUCUGCUGGGGGUGUGCUGACGCUGAGACACGAAAGCCAGGGGAGCGAACGGG